rnacentral:rRNA from 1 species
ACUCAAAGGAAUUGACGGGGACCCGCACAAGCAGCGGAGUGUGUGGUUUAAUUCGAUGCAACGCGAAGCACCUUACCUGGGUUCAAUCCUAGUCGCAGCAGGGGUGAUGCCCUGUCCCGCAAGGGCGGCUAGGACGGUGCUGCAUGGCUGUCGUCAGCUCGUGCCGUGAGGUGUUGGGUUAAGUCCCCUAACGAGCGCAACCCCCGGCGUCGGUUGCCACUCCGACGCAACUGCCCCGCACAACGGGGAGGAAGGUGGGGAUGAUGUCAAGUCAGCACGGCCCUGACGCCCAGGGCGACACACACACUACAAUGGCCGGGACAACGGGCAGCCACGGGGCGACUCGCAGCUAAUCCCUUAAACCCGGUCUCAGUUCAGAUGGCAGGCUGCAACUCGCCUGCCUGAAGGCGGAGUUGCUAGUAACCGCCGGUCAGCAUACGGCGGUGAAUACGUUCCCGGGUCUUGUACACACCGCCCGU